GUUCGCGGCCUAUCAGCUUGUUGGUGAGGUAACGGCUCACCAAGGCGACGACGGGUAGCCGGCCUGAGAGGGCGACCGGCCACACUGGGACUGAGACACGGCCCAGACUCCUACGGGAGGCAGCAGUGGGGAAUAUUGCACAAUGGGCGAAAGCCUGAUGCAGCGACGCCGCGUGAGGGAUGACGGCCUUCGGGUUGUAAACCUCUUUCAGCAGGGAAGAAGCGAAAGUGACGGUACCUGCAGAAGAAGCGCCGGCUAACUACGUGCCAGCAGCCGCGGUAAUACGUAGGGCGCGAGCGUUGUCCGGAAUUAUUGGGCGUAAAGAGCUCGUAGGCGGCUUGUCGCGUCGGUUGUGAAAGCCCGGGGCUUAACCCCGGGUCUGCAGUCGAUACGGGCAGGCUAGAGUUCGGUAGGGGAGAUCGGAAUUCCUGGUGUAGCGGUGAAAUGCGCAGAUAUCAGGAGGAACACCGGUGGCGAAGGCGGAUCUCUGGGCCGAUACUGACGCUGAGGAGCGAAAGCGUGGGGAGCGAACAGGAUUAGAUACCCUGGUAGUCCACGCCGUAAACGGUGGGCACUAGGUGUGGGCGACAUUCCACGUCGUCCGUGCCGCAGCUAACGCAUUAAGUGCCCCGCCUGGGGGAGUACGG
rnacentral:rRNA from 1 species